rnacentral:rRNA from 1 species
AUUGAACGCUGGCGGCAGGCCUAACACAUGCAAGUCGAGCGGCAGCGGAAAGUAGCUUGCUACUUUGCCGGCGAGCGGCGGACGGGUGAGUAAUGUCUGGGAAACUGCCUGAUGGAGGGGGAUAACUACUGGAAACGGUAGCUAAUACCGCAUGACCUCGAAAGAGCAAAGUGGGGGAUCUUCGGACCUCACGCCAUCGGAUGUGCCCAGAUGGGAUUAGCUAGUAGGUGAGGUAAUGGCUCACCUAGGCGAUGAUCCCUAGCUGGUCUGAGAGGAUGACCAGCCACACUGGAACUGAGACACGGUCCAGACUCCUACGGGAGGCAGCAGUGGGGAAUAUUGCACAAUGGGCGCAAGCCUGAUGCAGCCAUGCCGCGUGUGUGAAGAAGGCCUUAGGGUUGUAAAGCACUUUCAGCGAGGAGGAAGGCACCAUACUUAAUACGUGUGGUGAUUGACGUUACUCGCAGAAGAAGCACCGGCUAACUCCGUGCCAGCAGCCGCGGUAAUACGGAGGGUGCAAGCGUUAAUCGGAAUUACUGGGCGUAAAGCGCACGCAGGCGGUUUGUUAAGUCAGAUGUGAAAUCCCCGCGCUUAACGUGGGAACUGCAUUUGAAACUGGCAAGCUAGAGUCUUGUAGAGGGGGGUAGAAUUCCAGGUGUAGCGGUGAAAUGCGUAGAGAUCUGGAGGAAUACCGGUGGCGAAGGCGGCCCCCUGGACAAAGACUGACGCUCAGGUGCGAAAGCGUGGGGAGCAAACAGG